rnacentral:rRNA from 1 species
CCUACGGGUGGCAGCAGUGAGGAAUAUUGGUCAAUGGCCGGAAGGCUGAACCAGCCAUGCCGCGUGAAGGUCAGUGCCCUAUGGGCGUUAAACUUCUUUUGUGCGGGAGCAAUAAUGGUCACGUGUGGCCAGACGAGAGUACCGUACGAAUAAGCAUCGGCUAACUCCGUGCCAGCAGCCGCGGUAAUACGUAGGGAGCAAGCGUUGUCCGGAAUUACUGGGCGUAAAGGGCGCGUAGGUGGGCGCUUAAGUCAGGUGUGAAAAUUCCGGGCUCAACCUGGAGACUGCCCUUGAAACUGGGUGUCGUGAGGGCAGGAGAGGAAUGGGGAAUGCGUGGUGUAGCGGUGAAAUGCGUAGAUAUUAGGAGGAACACCAGUGGCGAAGGCGACUUUCUGGACUGUACCUGACGCUGAGGCGCGAAAGCGUGGGUAGCGAACGGGAUUAGAUACCCGAGUAGUC